UUUUUUUUGUUUUUUUUUUUUUAGUAGAGACACAGUUUCACCAUGUUGGCCAGGCUGGUCUUGAACUCCUGACCUCAGGUGAUCCGUCCACCUCGGCCUCCCAAACUGAGAUUACAGGCGUGAGCUACCGCCCCCGGCAGCAAUUUUUAAAAUAACACAACAAUAUCUGGCACUCUGCUGUCUGGCAUCCAGGUAAAAAUUGUCACACAGGCCAGGUGUGGUGGCUCUCGUCUGUAAUCCCAGCACACUGAGUGUCCAAAGUGGGAGGAUCACAUGAGGCCAAGAGUUUGAGACCAACCUGGGUAACAUAGGAAGACCCUAUCUCUACAAAAAAUGUAACAAUUAGCCAGGCAUGGUGGUAUGCACCUGUAGUCCCAACUACUCAGGAGGAUGAGGUGGGAGAAUUGUUGGAGGCCAGGGAGGUGGAGGUUACAGUGAGCUAUGAUCCUGCCAUUGCACUCCAACCCAUGCAACAGAGUGAGACCCCAUCUCUUGCCAGGCUUGCUAAGAAGGAGGUAAAUGUGAUCCAUUAUAAGGAGAAAAAAAAUUAAUAGAAAGAGACCCAGAAAUGACAAAGCUGAUAGAAUUAUCAGCAAGGAUGAUAGAUCAGGUAUUAUAAAUACACUCCAUAUGUUCAGAGAAUAGAGGAAAAUUGAACACGGUGAAGAGAAAAAUGAUACUAGAAAUGAGAAGUAUAAUAUCUUAAAUGAUAAGAUGAAUAUAUAAUAGAUGGGAUCAACAAUGAUUAGAAACUGCCGAAGGAAAGAUUAGCUCACCUGAAAACAUAUUAUCAGAAAAUAUCCAAAAUAAACACAUGGAGGCCAGGAGUGGUGGCUCACACCUGUAAUCCCAGAACUUUGGGAGGCUGAGGUGAGUGGAUCACUUGAGCCCAGGAGUUCAAGAUCAGCCUGGGCAACGUGGCAAAACCCCAUCUCUACCAAAAGAAAAUACUCAAAUUAGCUGGGCGUGGUGUUGAACACCUGUAGUCCCAGCUACUCAGGGGGCUGAGGUGGGAGGAUAGCUUGAGCCCAGGAGGCGGAGGUUGCAGUGAGCUGAAAUCACAGCACUGCACUCCAGCCUGGGCGACAGAGCCAGACCCUGUCUCCACCACCCCGCUCCCCCCCACCAAAAAAAAGUAAAGGAAACAAACAAAGUAAACACAUAGGGGAAAAAGAAGAUACCUCUCCCAACCCUGAAAAGAUCAGAACUUCAGUGACCUGUGGUACUAUGUCAAUCAAUCUAACAUGUAUAAUUAGGGUUUCAGAAAGAGGACAGAUUUGGCCCAAUUUUUUCCAAAUGAGAUGAAAACGAAAAACUUAUAGAUCAAAGAUGCUCAAUAGAUUUUAGGCAGAGGAAACAUGAAAAAUUAUAUUUAUACCAAGCUACAUUAUUAAGCUACUGAAAGUCAAUGAUAAAGAGAACAUCUUAAAAGCAGCCAGAGAAAAAAGACACAAUGGCAUAGUUUCUUUGCAUCAGAAACUAUGCAAGCUGGAAAAAGUUAGAUAUAUUUAAAACACCGGGGUGAGUAUGGAAAACCCUGUCAACGUAGCGUUCCAUGCAUUCAAAAAUACCUUUCAGAAAUGAAGGCAAACUCAAGUUUUUUCACAUGAACACAUGCUGAGAGAAUUCAUUGCAAACAGACCACUAAGAG
ensembl:lncRNA